AAUUUCAGCUGAAAAAGUCAUCAACAUAAAAGUUGUAUAACACAUCAAGACAUACAACUAUUAUUUUGGUCAUUUCUUUAUCCGAUAAAGUGAUAGUAACAUUGUUCACAAAAUUUACAUAUUUCUCUUAUGGUUUGUAAAACCAGAUGAGAGAUAUGUAAGUUUUGUGAACAAUGUUAUUCUCAAUUUAUUGGAUGAAGAAAUGACCAAAAUAAAAGUUAUAGAUCUUGAAGAGUUAUACAACUUUGUUGUUGAUGAUUUUUUCAGUUGAAAUC
rnacentral:pre_miRNA from 1 species